GCCGAGGGUCCGAGCGGAAGCCCGCCGAGUGAGGUAGCUGUAGGGGUCCGAGUGGACCACGUCGAGGCGGAAACGAAAGAAGAGGAAGGAUAAAGAUGUCGGAGAGACGAAGAAAAGCUUUUCGAAGUGGUUGAAAGACAGUAGCUUUCAUGUUUGCUUGUCUAAGAGAGAGAGGUGACAGCGGAGGGAGGCCUAAACAUCUAUGAAAACGAUGACGUCUCGGUGAGCUGCAAACACACUAUUCCUCACGUCAGCCUGGCUGGCGAUAGUAUCAACAUCCAUGGAGAACAAAGUUGGUUAUCUUUGUCCACGACGACUCCACUCACCCUGCAGCGAUUGCCACAGCAGCCUUGUCCACAGCAACCCUUGCCCCCGGCCCUGAUAGCUGAGCAGCUCGGGCACAGCAUCUAUAAGUGCACAAAAACAAACGAUCAUCAGUGCUGUUGAACUGAAGAUGGGAUUCACAACAAAAAAAACACAACAACUGUUCAGUGUGUCCUGCAAUGCUGAUGUUGCCUAAUAAAUGCGUGACUCUACA